GGGAAAUCUUACCGGGUCCGGACAUACUGAGGAUUGACAGGAGUCAGAGUAUUUUUUUUAUUUUUUAUUUUUUUUUUAAAAAUAAAAAAUAAUAUUUUACAAAAUACUCUCUAAAUAUGCUAGUCCUUUCAUGAUUGUGUGAUAGGUGGUGCAUGGCCGUUCUUAGUUCGUGAAGUGAUUUGUCUGCUUAAUUGCGUUUCUAUAUAAAAGUCUUUUACAAAAGUGAAAUUAUUUAUUUUUUUUUUUUUUUYSRAAAAAAWAAAWUUWAAAAAAUCMYUUUUUUKGNAARGUWUNYUUUUGAAGGCAACGA
rnacentral:rRNA from 1 species